UUGGAAACCUGAAUUAAAAUGCAAAUUAAAAUUUUUUUCAGGUCCACCUUGUAUGAUGUGACUAUCUUCUUAUUCAAUAUGUGUGGUUUUCAGGAAAGCAUUUGCCCAUCAUAUCAAUUAUCAGGCUACUGAGGACAGUGGAUAAAAUUGAUAUAUGGUGUUUUGUUACCAUGAUAUGGAGGGUAAUGGUGGAUGAGUGUGGGAUGACACUAACAGGACAAUAAGAAUCGCGUUUGAGGGAACUGAAAUGCAUUCUAAGCUAGUAUUUCAUCUUAGCCAAGUAUUCAAGUUUAUGAAACUACUGUCUGUAAGACAGGUAUUACGAUGUAAGCAAAUACAGUUGUAGCAAAUAAUAUUAUAUCUUUGAUAAAUAAAAUUAAUUUGAAUUUA